ACAACUAUAGCAUAUUGAAACCCCAGUUCUCAUACGACCACUAAAGUUGAGCAACUUCAAGCCUGAUUACUACCUAGAUGGGUGAUUGCUUGGGAAUACCAGGUACUGUAAG